CCCCCACGCCGGAAGACCAAGGUUUCCUGUCCCAUGCUAAUCAGGGCAGGGUAAGUCGGCCCCUAAGGCGAGGCGGAAACGCGUAGUCGAUGGGAAACGGAUUAAUAUUUCCGUACUUGUUAUAUCAGUGAAGGGGGGACGGAGAAGGUUAUGCUAGCUUGGCGUUGGUAGUCCAAGUGAAAGUGCGUAGGGUUGGUGUUUAGGAAAAUCCGGACACCACAUUUAAAAGAUGAGCCUGAGACACGAGACGAGACUCUACGGAGUUGAAGUAGCAAAUACCCUGCUUCCAGGAAAAGCCUCUAAACUUAUGAUAUAGCGAACCGUACCCCAAACCGACACAGGUGGUCAGGUAGAGAAUACUAAGGCGCUUGAGAGAACUCGGGUGAAGGAACUCGGCAAAAUUGUACCGUAACUUCGGGAGAAGGUACGCCCUUGCUUGUGUAGUGCUUCGCGCAUGAAGCAGGUGAGGGCCGCAGUGACCAGGAGGCUGGGACUGUUUAUUAAAAACACAGCACUGUGCUAAAUCGAAAGAUGACGUAUACGGUGUGACACCUGCCCGGUGCCGGAAGGUUAAUUGAUGGGGUUAGCGCAAGCGAAGCUCUUGAUCGAAGCCCCGGUAAACGGCGGCCGUAACUAUAACGGUCCUAAGGUAGCGAAAUUCCUUGUCGGGUAAGUUCCGACCUGCACGAAUGGUGUAACCAUGGCCUCGCUGUCUCCACCCGAGACUCAGUGAAAUUGAAAUUGCAGUGAAGAUGCUGUGUACCCGCACCUAGACGGAAAGACCCCGUGAACCUUUACUACAGCUUGGCACUGAACAUUGACCCUACAUGUGUAGGAUAGGUGGGAGACUAAGAAGCAUUGUCGCCAGAUGAUGUGGAGUCUACCUUGAAAUACCACCCUUGUAUGUUCGAUGUUCUAACAUUGCGCCCUUAUCGGGCGUGUGGACAGUGUCUGGUGGGUAGUUUGACUGGGGCGGUCUCCUCCCAAAGCGUAACGGAGGAGCACGAAGGUUGGCUAAUCCUGGUCGGACAUCAGGAGGUUAGUGCAAUGGCAUAAGCCAGCUUAACUGCGAGACAGACACGUCGAGCAGGUACGAAAGUAGGUCAUAGUGAUCCGGUGGUUCUGAAUGGAAGGGCCAUCGCUCAACGGAUAAAAGGUACUCCGGGGAUAACAGGCUGAUACCGCCCAAGAGUUCAUAUCGACGGCGGUGUUUGGCACCUCGAUGUCGGCUCAUCACAUCCUGGGGCUGAAGUCGGUCCCAAGGGUAUGGCUGUUCGCCAUUUAAAGUGGUACGCGAGCUGGGUUUAGAACGUCGUGAGACAGUUCGGUCCCUAUCUGGUGUGGGCGUUGGAUGAUUGAUGGGAGCUGCUCCUAGUACGAGAGGACCGGAGUGGACGAACCGCUGGUGUUCGGGUUGUCAUGCCAAUGGCAUUGCCCGGUAGCUACGUUCGGAAUCGAUAACCGCUGAAAGCAUCUAAGCGGGAAGCGAGCCCAGAGAUGAGUCAUCCCAGACAGUUUAACUGUCCU
rnacentral:rRNA from 1 species